rnacentral:lncRNA from 1 species
CUUACCAGGUCCCCGUGCUUAUAGGUAGCAUCGCCCGAGGGGAGAGAGACUGACACUCCUCCCAUUGUCUCUCCAGCGAUCGCAGGAGGGUUUACUGUUGUCUCCCUGCCCUGCUGUGCUGUUUGUUUUUCGUCACAAAGUGAAUUGCCAGAUCAAAUAGAGGCUGUGGGUUUCCAAGCCUCGAAAGCUUUAAGGAAGAUGAAAUGCAGGGUGUUGCAACCUUCACACGCCUGCUUAAUUGUUCACAGUCCUCUCCUGCCUUUUCCCCCUCCCCCUCCUGUUUUUUUCCUCCUCAAAGAAGCUGCUCCCUAGGACGUGAUUGAAAUUGAUCUAAGUAGUUUCCUUCGGGCGUUUGGGAUUUGG